GAUCGAGCUGGCCGAGGCGCGCAGGCGGCUCGCACGGCUGAGGACCGCACCUCCGCGGUUCGGACCGGCGCUCGGCGU
rnacentral:tRNA from 1 species